GUCCCCGUAGCUCAACUGGAUAGAGCACCCGCCUUCUAAGCGGGAUGUUGCAGGUUCGAUCCCUGCCGGGGAUGCCU
rnacentral:tRNA from 1 species